rnacentral:rRNA from 1 species
UAGUCAUAUGCUUGUCUUAAAGAUUAAGCCAUGCACGUCUAAGUAUAAGCGAUAGCAAAGCGAGACUGCGAAUGGCUCAUUAAAUCAGUUAUAGUUUAUUUGAUGGUAAAAGCUACUUGGAUAACCGUAGUAAUUCUAGAGCUAAUACAUGCGCAAAACCCCCUCACGGGGGUGCAUUUGUUAGGUACGAAACCAACCCCCGGUCGCAAGGCUGGGGUUUUGGUGAUUCUGGACAACUGAGCGGACCGAAUGACCUCGAGUCGUCGGCGCUUCAUUCAAAUUUCUGCCCUAUCAACUUUUGAUGGUAGUGUAGUGGACUACCAUGGUGAUAACGGGUAACGGGGAAUUAGGGUUCGGUUCCGGAGAGGGAGCCUGAGAGAUGGCUACCACUUCCAAGGAAGGCAGCAGGCGCGCAAAUUACCCAAUCACAAUACGUGGAGGUAGUGACAAUAAAUAACGAUACGCGGGCCGCAAGGUCUGCGUAAUCGGAAUGAGAGCAAUCCAAAACCCUCAUCGAGGAUCAAUUG